GAAGGAAGUUGUCAGUGCCCUGCGCUACUUUAAGACCAUUGUGGACAAAAUGGCAAUUGAUAAGAAGGUACUGGAGAUGCUUCCAGGGUCAGCCAGCAAGGUGCUGGAGGCCAUCUUACCCCUGGUGCAGAACGAUCCUCGAAUUCAGCACAGCUCAGCCCUCUCUUCCUGCUAUAGCCGAGUGUACCAAAGCCUCGCCAACCUCAUUCGCUGGUCUGACCAAGUGAUGCUGGAAGGCGUGAACUCAGAAGACAAGGAGAUGGUGACGACUGUGAAGGGGGUCAUCAAGGCUGUGCUGGAUGGAGUGAAGCCCAGCAGAGCUCCCCCUGACAGACCGCGAGGUAGAGAUCCUAAACAAGACGACUGGGAUGUCACAGUCAACUGAGCUCCUCCCAGAUGCCACGGAUGAAGAGGUCGCACCCCCCAAGCCUCCUCUGCCUGGCAUUCGGGUGGUUGAUAAUAGUCCUCCACCAGCAUUGCCACCCAAGAAAAGACAGUCGGCACCAUCCCCUACCCGAGUGGCUGUGGUGGCCCCCAUGAGCCGAGCCACCAGUGGCUCCAGUUUGCCUGUUGGAAUCAAUAGGCAGGAUUUUGAUGUUGACUGUUACGCACAAAGGCGACUGUCAGGAGGCAGCCACUCAUAUGGUGGAGAGUCGCCCCGCCUCUCCCCCUGCAGCAGCAUAGGCAAGCUCAGCAAGUCAGACGAGCAGCUGUCCUCUCUGGACAGGGACAGUGGGCAGUGCUCCCGGAACACAAGCUGUGAAACACUAGACCACUAUGAUCCCGACUAUGAAUUCCUCCAGCAAGACCUCUCUAACGCAGACCAGAUACCUCAGCAGACGGCCUGGAACCUUAGUCCGUUGCCAGAGUCUUUGGGGGAGUCUGGGUCUCCAUUUCUUGGCCCUCCUUUCCAGCUGCCUCUUGGCAGCCAUCCCCAGCCAGACGGACCUCUGGCCCCAGGGCAGCAGACAGAUACGCCACCUGCUCUCCCCGAGAAGAAGCGCAGGAGCGCAGCCUCCCAGACGGCGGACGGC
rnacentral:sRNA from 1 species